rnacentral:rRNA from 1 species
AUUGAACGCUGGCGGCAUGCCUUACACAUGCAAGUCGAACGGUAACAGGUCUUCGGAUGCUGACGAGUGGCGAACGGGUGAGUAAUACAUCGGAACGUGCCCGAGAGUGGGGGAUAACGAGGCGAAAGCUUUGCUAAUACCGCAUACGAUCUCAGGAUGAAAGCAGGGGACCGCAAGGCCUUGCGCUCACGGAGCGGCCGAUGGCAGAUUAGGUAGUUGGUGGGAUAAAAGCUUACCAAGCCGACGAUCUGUAGCUGGUCUGAGAGGACGACCAGCCACACUGGGACUGAGACACGGCCGAGACUCCCACUGGAGGAAGCAGUGGGGAAUUUUCGACAAUGGGCGCAAGUCUGAUCCAGCCAAGCCGCGUGCAGGAUGAAGGCCUUCGGGUUGUAAACUGCUUUUGUACGGAACGAAAAGACUCUGGUUAAUACCUGGGGUCCAUGACGGUACCGUAAGAAUAAGCACCGGCUAACUACGUGCCAGCAGCCGCAGUAAGAC